AGCUGCGACUCCUUGUGGGACGCUCUUCUUAAAUAUAUUGGUGCGGCCUGCCGCCCGGUUAUACAACGUUCUAGGUUCGUCCAACUCGUUGACAUGCCGGUGCACUUUUGGUGCUGCACCUAAAGCCUGCCUUGUGCCUUGUGCUCUUGGCUUAUUCAUUUAUUGACCUCAGAUCAGGUAGGAAUACGCGCUGAACUUAA
rnacentral:misc_RNA from 1 species